rnacentral:rRNA from 1 species
AACGUAGGACGCAAGCGUUAUCCGGAGUUACUGGGCGUAAAGCGCGGGCAGGCGGCUCGAAACGUCUGAUGUGAAAUCUCCUCGCUCAACGGGGAGAGGCCAUUGGAAACGGUCGGGCUGGAGGGCAGUAGAGGUAGGCGGAAUUCCGGGUGGAGUGGUGAAAUGCGCAGAUAUCAGGAGGAACACCGGUGGCGAAGGCGGGUCUCUGGGCCGAUACUGACGCUGAGGAGCGAAAGCGUGGGGAGCGAACAGG